GGGAGAAUUGCCCUAAAAAAAAACACCUGAGGAAUUAGUGCCGCCGCCGGCGGCGGCUCCGGGGAUUGCCGCCGCAUACCUUUGCUCCAUCUACCCCCUCCUGCGGCGGUGUCGCUGAUUGGAUGAUGCUAUCCUCGCUUCUUCGGAGCAGCUAGCACGCGCUGCUUCCUCCUCCGCCGCCGGCUGCGCUCUCAAGCGGACCCCAGCCUUCUCCAGAAAUGUCUCCUCCGUCAGAGCCAAGCUCAUCCCCUCAGCCCGGACCAUGCCGACCUCGGCAAGCUCCUGGAGGUCUACAAACUCCGCGAGACUGCCACGACUGGUUCUCGGACGAGCAACAGCAGCAAGCUAUGGCCUAUGGGUUAACCCUGGGAACAAUUAGUUAGGUUCAGCGACUGCCCUGCUGCUUGAGCUCCGGACCGACCCUUGCCCCUGGGAGUUUCCAACAGGGCCUGCAGUUGCCGCCGACUUCCCGUCAGAAACUUCGCCGACCUCCGGCGACCACCACGUAGAUUCUGACAGAGUGGAUAGAUCCCCCUCAACUGGAGGGCGAGGCACUGCCGGCACGUACAGUCCUGGAGAUCAUUAGGUGCUGCUGUGGAUGUUACUGCUUCCAUUCCUGGCUGAGACCAGCUCUAGUCCCCCCUUUUGCUUAAUCCGUAUGAAUUUUAUGAUUAAAAGAUCAGCGGUUCAUCAAUUUCUGGAGUGAUCGAGGCAUCGAGCCGUAUAUCCCCUUUUGUAUUUUGCUCAGGAAGAGCUUUAGAAAUUGCUUACACAAAGUGUGGUCGAUCUGUGGCUAGGAGUACCCUUUCUCGAUUAGUUUCAUGAGAGAUUGAACUACUGUUUUGUGAACAUGAAGUGCUUGAUGAAUUGCUUCUUUUCAAGAUAUAAAACAAAAUACACCGUCUCA